rnacentral:rRNA from 1 species
GACGAACGCUGGCGGCGUGCCUAAUACAUGCCAGUAGAACGCUGAAGGAGGAGCUUGCUUCUCUGGAUGAGUUGCGAACGGGUGAGUAACGCGUAGGUAACCUGCCUGGUAGCGGGGGAUAACUAUUGGAAACGAUAGCUAAUACCGCAUAAUAGUAGAUGUUGCAUGACAUUUGCCUAAAAGGUGCAAUUGCAUCACUACCAGAUGGAUCUGCGUUGUAUUAGCUAGUUGGUGGGGUAACGGCUCACCAAGGCGACGAUACAUAGCCGACCUGAGAGGGUGAUCGGCCACACUGGGACUGAGACACGGCCCAGACUCCUACGGGAGGCAGCAGUAGGGAAUCUUCGGCAAUGGACGGAAGUCUGACCGAGCAACGCCGCGUGAGUGAAGAAGGUUUUCGGAUCGUAAAGCUCUGUUGUAAGAGAAGAACGAGUGUGAGAGUGGAAAGUUCACACUGUGACGGUAUCUUACCAGAAAGGGACGGCUAACUACGUG